rnacentral:rRNA from 1 species
AGGAUAAACGCUGGCGGCGUGCUUCAGGCAUGCAAGUCGAACGGACUACUUCGGUAGUCAGAGGCGGACGGGUGAGUAACACGUAAGUAACCUGCCCAGAAGUGGGGAAUAACUAGCCGAAAGGUUGGCUAAUACCGCAUGUGAUGGCCGCCCCCUGGGGUGGUCCUUAAAGGCUUCGGUCGCUUCUGGAGGGGCUUGCGUUCGAUUAGCUAGUUGGUGGGGUAACGGCCUACCAAGGCUUCGAUCGAUAGCUGGUCUGAGAGGACGGACAGCCACACGGGGACUGAGAUACGGCCCCGACUCCUGCGGGAGGCAGCAGCUAGGAAUCUUGGGAAUGGGCGAAAGCCUGACCCAGCAACGCCGCGUGGGUGACGAAGGCCUUCGGGUCGUAAAGCCCUUUUGCAGGGGAAGAUGAUGACGGUACCCUGCGAAUAAGCCACGGCUAACUACGUGCCAGCAGCCGCGGUAAUACGUAGGUGGCAAGCGUUGUCCGGAUUUACUGGGCGUAAAGGGCGUGCAGGCGGUUUGUUAAGUCUAGGGUGAAAGCUCCCGGCUCAACUGGGAGAGGUCCUUGGAUACUGGCAGACUUGAGGGGGGUAGAGGAGAGUGGAAUUCCCGGUGUAGUGGUGAUAUGCGUAGAUAUCGGGAGGAACACCAGUGGCGAAGGCGGCUCUCUGGGCCCUACCUGACGCUGAGACGCGAAAGCGUGGGGAGCGAACCGGAUUAGAUACCCGGGUAGUCCACGCCGUAAACUAUGGACACUAGGUGUGGGGGGUAUCGACCCCCUCCGUGCCGCAGCUAACGCAAUAAGUUCCC